AAGAUUGAAUCAGCAAAAAUGCAUAUGUCUUCAGUGCUUUGAUCUUCAACAUUUCCAUAAUUAUGUAAUUUUUCAGAAAGCAAAUUAUACUUUUUGGUUGAGACAGAGCUCUUGUCAGCAAGAGGGAGUUUCAUUGACAAGGGACCUGCCGAUUGGCCACUGCAAGGCAAAAGAUUCACAAUUCAAAGAGAACAAUAAACAGGAUUACAGGACAGAGG
rnacentral:misc_RNA from 1 species